CCGACACUUUGCAUAUUGGAAAGGAUGUAGACGGGUGGUUUUCAAAAUUCUUCCAAGGGCCAAUGCGCCACAUUCUAAUUUUAAAUCGCGAAUUAAUCGCAUAAUCAUGAUUUUAUUUUUAUAAAAUUACUGAGGACCCCUUCCAUUGACAUGAUUGCACGGAACCACAAGCCGGCUUCUUUUCUGGAAUGGGGUCCUCAGAUUUGGAGGUUAACGUUCGAAGACAGAGCAGAGCUGAUGCUUCCCGAGCCUGGACCGGUGGACAGGAGGCUGUGGCGAUCGGUAUGGAAGAGCUCCCAUUCCGUGGCUGCAGCGGCCACCUCUCCUCAAUUCGGUUAGACGUCCCCCAAGGUCAGAGCGUUCCUCGGUUAUUUUUAAAAAAAGGCGCCCAACAUAAAUUAAUUUUUUAAUUAAUAAUUUACCUUUUACCCGGUCUUCCAGUACCAGAACUACUGACUCACCCCUAUGCUCUAAAUUUUAGGUAUUUGUUUUUUUUUUAAGUAAAUAGACUGAGCUAGCGAUAUAAUUUAUAAUAAGGGUAGUUUCAUUGCCUACCAGUUAGGCGUUACUAAGUAGUGUAUUAUUACUUUCGAAAUUAU